AUUUUUGCGCAGGGGCAUAAUCACAACCAAUGCAGUUCAACUCAUGUUGCGAUUAUUUCUAAUUGAAAACUUUAACCAAUUCACACCAUGAGGACAUGAAAAGUAGUCCAUGUAGGCAAAAUAUUAACAAAUUAUUUUUAAA